GAGAGCCGUAUACAGUGAAAGCUGUACGUACGGUUCGGAGGGGGGCUUUCAAAAACCUACCGUUGAAAAACGGCAAGGCGUUGGCUGCCUACCCA
rnacentral:ncRNA from 1 species